UACGUAGGUGGCAAGCGUUGUCCGGAAUUAUUGGGCGUAAAGCGCGCGCAGGCGGUCCUUUAAGUCUGAUGUGAAAGCCCACGGCUCAACCGUGGAGGGUCAUUGGAAACUGGGGGACUUGAGUGCAGAAGAGGCGAGUGGAAUUCCUGGUGUAGCGGUGAAAUGCGCAGAUAUCAGGAGGAACACCAACAGCGAAGGCAGCACUCGUGGGCCGGUACUGACGCUGAGGAGCGAAAGCAUGGGGAGCGAACAGG
rnacentral:rRNA from 1 species